UGGUGGGUAGUUUGACUGGGGCGGUCUCCUCCUAAAGAGUAACGGAGGAGCACGAAGGUUGGCUAAUCCUGGUCGGACAUCAGGAGGUUAGUGCAAUGGCAUAAGCCAGCUUGACUGCGAGCGUGACGGCGCGAGCAGGUGCGAAAGCAGGUCAUAGUGAUCCGGUGGUUCUGAAUGGAAGGGCCAUCGCUCAACGGAUAAAAGGUACUCCGGGGAUAACAGGCUGAUACCGCCCAAGAGUUCAUAUCGACGGCGGUGUUUGGCACCUCGAUGUCGGCUCAUCACAUCCUGGGGCUGAAGUAGGUCCCAAGGGUAUGGCUGUUCGCCAUUUAAAGUGGUACGCGAGCUGGGUUUAGAACGUCGUGAGACAGUUCGGUCCCUAUCUGCCGUGGGCGCUGGAGAACUGAGGGGGGCUGCUCCUAGUACGAGAGGACCGGAGUGGACGCAUCACUGGUGUUCGGGUUGUCAUGCCAAUGGCACUGCCCGGUAGCUAAAUGCGGAAGAGAUAAGUGCUGAAAGCAUCUAAGCACGAAACUUGCCCCGAGAUGAGUUCUCCCUGACUCCUUGAGAGU
rnacentral:rRNA from 1 species